UUAUUACAAGAAGACAAGAAACUGAGGAGGCUACAAAAUCUGGUGAGCAUGCUGAGGGGGAGGCAAAUGAUUCGCAAUCCGGGGAAAAGAAAGAGGACACAGAUGGUGAAGACGAAAUUAGAUCAGCUGAUAAGGAGGAACCUGAGUCUCAAGCCCGGG
rnacentral:sRNA from 1 species